GUGUCAGCAGCCGCGGUAAUACCAGCUCUCCGAGUGGUGGGGAUGAUUAUUGGGCCUAAAGCAUCCGUAGCCGGCUGGACAAGUCCCCUGUUAAAUCCAACGAUCCAAUCGUUGGUCUGCGGGGGAUACUGUCCGGCUUGGGGGCGGGAGAGGCCGCCGGUAUUUCCGGGGUAGGGGUGAAAUCCUAUAAUCCCGGGAGGACCACCAGUGGCGAAGGCUGUCGGCUAGAACGCGCCCGACGGUGAGGGAUGAAAGCUGGGGGAGCGAACCGGAUUAGAUACCCGGGUAGUCCCAGCUGUAAACGAUGCAGGCUAGGUGUUAGGGCGGCUACGUGCCGCUCUAGUGCCGCAGGGAAGCCGUUAAGCCUGCCGCCUGGGGAGUACGGUCGCAAGGCUGAAACUUAAAGGAAUUGACGGGG
rnacentral:rRNA from 1 species